UUUUAUUUAUCAACAAAUGUAAAAUUUAUUGAUCAAAAUUUAUAUACAAGUACACCGGACAUACACGAGUAAAACAAAGCAAAUGAUUCAUACAAUUACUCCAGGCAAACCUAGGUAAACAAAAAAGCAAAGAAGUACAACAAAAAUCAAUAAGCCAACACUCAAAAUGAAUCAGGACUACGGAUACAAAUAAAACAUUACUUUGUAUAUGUGUCUUAAUUUGUCUCACAAUACAAUUCACGUGUGGUCUAAAAUCUUUAAAAAAAAUUCUAUUCGGAGAUAACCAAAUGUAGUAAACGGUACUUGCAAGUGCAAUCCUUUUGGCCUUGUUUAGCCACGAUGUCCCACGAACCUCCUUCUUUAUCCACUUCAACACACUAACAAGUGUCGACAUAGAUCUUCUAAUGCCAAGCCACUGUUUGAUCCUCCCCCAUAAGGAUGAUGGAACGAACAUUCAAAGAACAAGUGUUGGCCUGUUUCCUCUGUUUGCCCACACAGAACACAAUUCUAGUCAAUCUCUAAGUACGACAAUUUGUCUUUGGUUAGAAGUUUAGAUUGAACACCUAACCAAAGCAAAAAUGAGUGCUCCGGUGUUAUGCAAGAACUCCAAACAUCAGCUACCCAAAUCUUCUUAGUACCUCUCAGCCGAAAGUAAUCAUAGGCCUUUCUAGUGCAAAAUUUAUCCCCUGUAGACCAGGCCGUAAGUCUGUCCAUAGUUUUCUAACGAAAUCAACAUCAGUUCGUCCCUAGUAUCUGCCUGAAUAGCCGCAACAUGUGUAGGUUGAGAAGUCAACCCUGAAGAAGUGCUCGACUCUCCUGCCAAGAAGUCUUUUGAUAACUUGUGCGGAUUGAUGAGGCAAGUCUUGAAAAGGUGCUUGAGUCUCCUGCCGAGGAGGUUCUUCUUGUAAAUAGCUCAUACGAGUUGAGGGAAAUGACCCGCGUGGGUUGAGAAGGAAAUCAAACAGGUUCUAGAAACUUAAUGAACUCAAGACAUGAAAGUAUUAGUCUUUUUUAAUACCUAUAACGAGUGGCUUACUUUAUAUUAAUUAAACUGAAACAAAAUCCAUAUAAAAUGCCAGAUGACUCUUUAGAGUACAAAUGUGCCUUCUUGAAUUAGAGAAUCAUUUUUGCAUCGAACCGCUUCAUUUAAGAACUUAAGUUUUCAGAAAGAUGCUAUAUUUAUUCUUUACAUUAAUCUUCAACAUAUCUCCUCAUAUGUACUUUGAAAUCCCUUUUUUUUUUCUUAAUUUUUUUUUUUUUUAUGAAAAUCUAAUACUGCAUGAGACUUAAAUUGAUGAUUUUUACUUAGUCUAAUAUUUUGCGUUGAAAUACUUAUCUUAAACCUUUUUUUUUUUUUUUUUUUUGAAGAAAUGAGAAACUUGAGUAUAUUUUCACAGUGUUUAUAAGCAAUUUAAAUUAUAAAUAGAUAAAAAUAAGUG
rnacentral:lncRNA from 1 species